UAUCCAUUGGAGGGCAAGUCUGGUGCCAGCAGCUGCGGUAAUACCAGCUCCAAUAGCGUAUAUUAAAGUUGUUGCAGUUAAAAAGCUCGUAGUUGGACUUGUGUGCGCUGUCCGCGGGUGGCCUGCGCCCAAAAGGGCGUUUCGGUUCGGCCCCGGUGGCGCCUUGAAAUCUGCAGCUGGGGGGACGUUGGCCUUAACUGGUCGGCGACCGCACGCCGGCUGCUCGGUUACUGUGAGAAAAUUAGAGUGUUCAAGGCAGGCAUUGGGUGCAAUUGAAUACAUUAGCAUGGAAUAAUAAAAUAUGGCUCCUGCCGUAUUUUGUUGGUUUUGACUGGUGGGAGUAAUGAUUGAUAGGGACGGUUGGGGGUGCUAGUAUUGAGCGGCCAGAGGUGAAAUUCAUGGAUUCGCUCAAGACUAACUUAUGCGAAAGCAUUCACCAAGGACGUCCUCUUUAAUCAAGAACGAGAGUUGGGGGAUCGAAGACGAUCAGAUACCGUCGUAGUCUCAACCAUAAACUAUGUCGACUUGGGAUCGGCGGUAGUUUUUUCAUUAAGACACUGUCGGGACCACGGGAGAAAUCAAAGUGUCUGGACUCUGGGGGAUGUAUGGUCGCAAGGCUGAAACUUGAAGGAAUUGACGGAAGGGCACCACCAGGAGUGGAGCCUGCGGCUUAAUUUGACACAACACGGGGAAACUUACCAGGUCCAGAGAUAUAGAGGAUUGACAGAUUGAAGCUCUUUCUUGAUCACUUCGGUGGUGGUGCAUGGCCGUUCUUAGUUGGUGGAGUGAUUUGUCUGGUUAAUUCCGUUAACGAACGAGACCUCAGCCUGCUAGUGUAGUCGGCUGGAUUGCCUUUGGCGAUCCGUGAUUUCGACUUCUUAGAGGGACAAUCGACGCGCAGUCGAUGGAAGUUUGAGGCAAUAACAGGUCUGUGAUGCCCUUAGAUGUUCUGGGCCGCACGCGCGCUACACUGCUGGGCUCAGCGAGUUUUAUUUGGCCGAGAGGCCCGGUUAAUCUUGUGAAAUCCCAGCGUGCUUGGGCUCGCCUCCUGCAACUGGAGGCGCCAACGAGGAAUUCCUAGUAGACGCAGGUCAUCAACCUGCAUCGAUUACGUCCCUGCCCUUUGUACACACCGCCCGUCGUUCCAUAAGAGUGAGGCAUCCGGUGAAUUCUCGGGAGAGCCUGGGCGUGGCCAGCAAUGGUCUGCUCGGGUUUGAACUUGCAUAAACUUGGUGCCUAUGAUUAGGG
rnacentral:rRNA from 1 species